rnacentral:rRNA from 1 species
CUAAACGUCCGUAGCCUGUCUGAUACAUUCGUGGGUAAAUCAACCAGCUCAACUGGUUGAAUUCUGCGAGGACGGCCAGACUUGGGACCGGGAGAGGUGUGGGGUACGCUCAGGGUAGGGGUAAAAUCCUGUCAUCCUGAGCGGACCACCUGUUGCGAAGGCGCCACACUAGAACGGAUCCGACGGUCAGGGACGAAGCCUAGGGGCACGAACCGGAUUAGAUACCCGGGUAGUCCUAGGUGUAAACGCUGUGGACUUGAUGUUGGGGAUGCUCCGAGCAUUCUCAGUGCCGAAGCGAAGGUGAUAAGUCCACUGCCUGGGGAGUACGGUCGCAAGGCUGAAACUUAAAGGAAUUGGGGGG